rnacentral:rRNA from 1 species
CCCAGUGACUCUCUGACCCGAUCUUGUAGUAGGCAAGCUGCGGAGGGACGCAGGAAGGUAGCUCUACCGGGCGAUGGUUGUCCCGGGGUAAGUGUGUAGGACGAGGCGUAGGCAAAUCCGCGUCUCUUGUGUCUGAGACAUGAGGCCGAGCCACACUAUUGUGUGGUGAGUGAGUGAUCCUAUGCUGCCUAGAAAAUCUUCGUGAGCGAGUCAUAUGUGCCGCCCGUACCCUAAACCGACUCAGGUGGUUAGGUAGAGAAUACCAAGGCGAUCGAGAUAAUCGUGGUGAAGGAACUCGGCAAAAUGCCCCCGUAACUUCGGAAUAAGGGGGGCCUGAUGCGUGAACACACUUGCUGUGGGAGCGUUGAGGGCCGCAGAGACCAGGGGGAAGCGACUGUUUACUAAAAACACAGGUCCGUGCCAAGUCGCAAGACGAUGUAUACGGACUGACUCCUGCCCGGUGCUGGAAGGUUAAGGGGAAGUGUCAGCUUUGCGAAGCACUGAACUUAAGCCCCAGUAAACGGCGGUGGUAACUAUAACCAUCCUAAGGUAGCGAAAUUCCUUGUCGGGUAAGUUCCGACCUGCACGAAUGGAGUAACGAUUUCCCUACUGUCUCCACCACGAACUCGGCGAAAUUGCAUUACGAGUAAAGAUGCUCGUUACGCGCAGCAGGACGGAAAGACCCCGGGACCUUUACUAUAGUUUGGUAUUGGUGAUUGGGACAGCUUGUGUAGGAUAGGUGGGAGACUGUGAAGCAUUCACGCCAGUGAGUGUGGAGUCAACGUUGAAAUACCACUCUGGUUGUUCUAGUUAUCUAACCUAGGUCCGUUAUCCGGAUCAGGGACAGUGCCUGAUGGGUAGUUUGACUGGGGCGGUCGCCUCCCAAAAGGUAACGGAGGCGCCCAAAGGUUCCCUCAGCCUGGUUGGCAAUCAGGUUUUGAGUGUAAGUGCACAAGGGAGCUUGACUGUGAGAGAGACAUCUCGAGCAGGGACGAAAGUCGGGACUAGUGAUCUGACGGUGGCAUGUGGAAGCGCCGUCACUCAACGGAUAAAAGGUACCCCGGGGAUAACAGGCUGAUCUUGCCCGAGCGUCCAUAGCGACGGCAUGGUUUGGCACCUCGAUGUCGGCUCGUCGCAUCCUGGGGCUGGAGUCGGUCCCAAGGGUUGGGCUGUUCGCCCAUUAAAGCGGCACGCGAGCUGGGUUUAGAACGUCGUGAGACAGUUCGGUCCCUAUCCGCUGCGCGCGUAGGAAUCUUGAGAAGAGCUGUCCUUAGUACGAGAGGACCGGGACGGACUAACCUCUGGUGUGCCAGUUGUUCCGCCAGGAGCAUCGCUGGUUGGCUACGUUGGGAAGUGAUAACCGCUGAAAGCAUCUAAGCGGGAAGCAUACUUCAAGAUGAGGGUUCCCACCCGUAUGGGUUAAGGCCCCCGGAAGACCACCGGGUUGAUAGGUCGGAUGUGGAAGUACAGUAAUGUGCGGAGCUGACCGAUACUAAUAGGCCGAGGGCUUGUUCCU